UACGUAGGGUGCAAGCGUUGUCCGGAAUUAUUGGGCGUAAAGAGCUCGUAGGCGGUUCGUCGCGUCGGCCGUGAAAUCCCGAGGCUCAACCUCGGGUCUGCAGUCGAUACGGGCGGACUGGAGUUCGGCAGGGGAGACUGGAAUUCCUGGUGUAGCGGUGAAAUGCGCAGAUAUCAGGAGGAACACCGGUGGCGAAGGCGGGUCUCUGGGCCGAUACUGACGCUGAGGAGCGAAAGCGUGGGGAGCGAACAGG
rnacentral:rRNA from 1 species